UCCCUCCCAAAGUAUAAUUUAGAAUUUCACAUUCCCUCUCCCCCAAAUCCAUUAACCCUAAAAACAACAACAAUGGCUUCUCGGGAUUCAUAGAGUUACUGUCACCUCCAAAAAACAAAAACAAACCAGAACAACAACCUACAGAAUCAAUCUUCAUCACUUACAGCCACAAAUCCCAGCAUCAUCUAACCGCCAUUAAAGCACAAAAUUCCUCAUCAACACCACCAGAACAACAACCUACAUAAUCAACGAAUGAAACCGCCACAACUCCGGUAGGGUUCGGGUCCGUGUCGACGUUAUCUCUGGCGAAGAAACAGAAAGGAAAAAAGGAAAGAUCUAGAAUUAUUCGACGAGAACCGGUUGAAGCACCUAAGUUUGUUACUCAAAAGAAGGAACAAAGGGCGUCGGAUGAGCAGCAGGGGAGCAACGAGCGUGCUUUUCUUCUUAUGUGGUUAGGGGUAGGUUCGUUCAACAGAAGGAACAAAGGGCGUCGGAUGAGCAGCAGGGGAGCAACGAGCGUGCUUUUCUUCUUACGUGGUUAGGGUUAAGUUCUUUGAUUUUUGUUGAGGGGAUUGCUCUGGUUGCUUCAGGAAAAAGGCGCAUCAGAGAUUGUGUUUAAAGCUAUGGGUAUAGCCAUCAACAAGACUGUUACAAUUGUGGAAUUAAUAAAGAGGCGAAUUGUUGGCCUUCGUUAAAUUACAUCCAUUGGAUCCACAGACAUAACCGACACAUGGGAACCCCUAGAGGAAGGAUUACUUCCUCUGGAGACCACAAGGCAUGUUUCAAUGAUAACUAUAACCCUUUCAAGGCGGAGUUGAAUAUGUCAUUUAUCGGGU